rnacentral:rRNA from 1 species
GGUUAAGCGACUAAGCGUACACGGUGGAUGCCCUGGCAGUCAGAGGCGAUGAAGGACGUGCUAAUCUGCGAUAAGCGCCGGUAAGGUGAUAUGAACCGUUAUAACCGGCGAUUUCCGAAUGGGGAAACCCAGUGUGAUUCGUCACACUAUCAUUAACUGAAUCCAUAGGUUAAUGAGGCGAACCGGGGGAACUGAAACAUCUAAGUACCCCGAGGAAAAGAAAUCAACCGAGAUUCCCCCAGUAGCGGCGAGCGAACGGGGAGGAGCCCAGAGCCUGAAUCAGCAUGUGUGUUAGUGGAAGCGUCUGGAAAGGCGCGCGAUACAGGGUGACAGCCCC